rfam:Salmo salar isolate Sally breed double haploid chromosome ssa28, whole genome shotgun sequence.
GAGAUUCCAAUUUGUAAGUCGCUCUGGAUAAGAGCGUCUGCUAAAUGACUAAAA